rnacentral:rRNA from 1 species
UACGUAGGGUGCAAGCGUUGUCCGGAAUUAUUGGGCGUAAAGAGCUCGUAGGCGGUCUGUCGCGUCUGCUGUGAAAACUCGGGGCUUAACCCCGGGCCUGCAGUGGGUACGGGCAGACUAGAGUGCGGUAGGGGAGACUGGAAUUCCUGGUGUAGCGGUGAAAUGCGCAGAUAUCAGGAGGAACACCGGUGGCGAAGGCGGGUCUCUGGGCCGUAACUGACGCUGAGGAGCGAAAAGCGUGGGGAGCGAACAGG